rnacentral:rRNA from 1 species
UACGUAGGUGGCAAGCGUUUGUCCGGAAUUAUUGGGCGUAAAGCGCGCGCAGGCGGUCCUUUAAGUCUGAUGUGAAAGCCCACGGCUCGACCGUGGAGGGUCAUUGGAAACUGGGGGACUUGAGUGCAGAAGAGGAAAGCGGAAUUCCACGUGUAGCGGUGAAAUGCGUAGAGAUGUGGAGGAACACCAGUGGCGAAGGCGGCUUUCUGGUCUGUAACUGACGCUGAGGCGCGAAAGCGUGGGGAGCAAACAGG